UACGUAGGGUGCGAGCGUUAAUCGGAAUUACUGGGCGUAAAGGGCGCGUAGGCGGCCUGCUAAGUCGAACGUGAAAUCCCCGAGCUCAACUCGGGAACUGCGUCCGAUACUGGCAGGCUUGAAUCCGGGAGAGGGAUGCGGAAUUCCAGGUGUAGCGGUGAAAUGCGUAGAUAUCUGGAGGAACACCGGUGGCGAAGGCGGCAUCCUGGACCAACACUGACACUGAGGAGCGAAAGCCAGGGGAGCAAACGGG
rnacentral:rRNA from 1 species